UUGAACGCUGGCGGCAUGCUUUACACAUGCAAGUCGAACGGCAGCGCGGGCUUCGGCCUGGCGGCGAGUGGCGAACGGGUGAGUAAUGCAUUGGAACGUGCCCAGUAGUGGGGGAUAGCCCGGCGAAAGCCGGAUUAAUACCGCAUACGACCUGAGGGUGAAAGCGGGGGACCGAAAGGCCUCGCGCUAUUGGAGCGGCCGAUGUCGGAUUAGCUAGUUGGUGGGGUAAAGGCUUACCAAGGCGACGAUCCGUAGCUGGUCUGAGAGGACGACCAGCCACACUGGGACUGAGACACGGCCCAGACUCCUACGGGAGGCAGCAGUGGGGAAUUUUGGACAAUGGGGGCAACCCUGAUCCAGCCAUGCCGCGUGCGGGAAGAAGGCCUUCGGGUUGUAAACCGCUUUUGUUCGGGAAGAAAUCCUCUGGGCUAAUACCCCGGGGGGAUGACGGUACCGGAAGAAUAAGCACCGGCUAACUACGUG
rnacentral:rRNA from 1 species